CACGUAGGGUGCAAGCGUUGCUCGGAAUCACUGGGCGUAAAGGGCGCGUAGGCGGCCAUUCAAGUCGGAGGUGAAAGCCCAGGGCUCAACCCUGGAAUUGCCUUCGAUACUGUCUGGCUAGAGACCGGAAGAGGUAAGUGGAACUGCGAGUGUAGAGGUGAAAUUCGUAGAUAUUCGCAAGAACACCAGUGGCGAAGGCGGCUUACUGGUCCGGUUCUGACGCUGAGGCGCGAAAGCGUGGGGAGCAAACAGG
rnacentral:rRNA from 1 species